AACAGAAGUUUGUGUGUGCGUCUGUCUCACUCAGUGGGACACACGCAUCACAGCGAUAUGAGAGUGCUGCGCUACCUGAAGGAGAGAUUUUAAAACUUUGAGAGAUACCAACGGCAAUAGCCUAUGGAGGAGAAA